rnacentral:lncRNA from 1 species
CUCUUUUUAGGGCUGCACUGGAGACAUAUGGAGGUUCCCAGGCUAGGGGUCGAAGCAGAGGUACAACUGCCAGCCACAGCCACAGCCACAGCCACAGCAAUUUUGGAUCCGAGCCGUGUCUGCGACCUACACCAUAGCUCACAGCAACGCCAGAUCCUUAACCCCUUGAGCGAGGCCUGAACAAGGCCAGGGAUAGAACCUGUGUCCUCACGGAUACUAGUCAAAUUUGAUAACCACUGAGCCAUGGAGGGAACUCCAACUUAUCUUUCUUUUCACCCUGCUAUGUCUGGGAAAUUCUUUCUCCAACCCUUGUACCUAGACCACCACAGACAGUACCUCGGAACUGGGGGGGCAGGGCUCCAGGAACCCCCUGUCCUCCCACAGUCUGCCUCACACCCUCUUCUGAGAGUUCCCACCCAGGGUCUCAGGUGAGCAGGAAGUGUGGCAGUGACCCCACCCAUUUACAGUGGUGUGUGGCCCGGUCAGCAAAGGUCAGUGGGCCCAUCACAUUCUUUCUCUGGAAGCUGUCAGCACUGAAAGAUGUUCCUUGAGGCUUAGCACCUGGGCAGGAUGUGCCUCGACUGGGGAAAGAGGCGGGGAGGGGAGCCACAGGGAGCUAGGAACACCUCCAAAGAGGUAGAGAUGAAAGCAUGGCAGUUCCCAGAGCUCCUGGAUUCCUGCUCUGCCUAAGGCCUGUUUGCUCGGCUUUUCUUGGAUUCCUAGGAGGCCUUUCUAGAGCCUUAGAAAAGCCCAGUUUUACUGGAGCCUGUCUUUAUACAACCAAAAGAGUCUUAGAGAGAACACUCAAUACAAACAGAGCCACUCCACUUUUAUCUUUUCGCAUUUCAGGGGUCAUGGAAGCUUUUGACUGAAAGGUGGAAACCAAAAAGACUCCAAGCUGCUAAAACAAAGUAUGGAAAUCAUGGGCCCGGUGUGAGACUUGCUUCGGUGAGAAGGACACCUCGGCACAGAAAAAAAAAGGUAGCAGGGCUGUUUUAUAAGCCCCUGUCUCAGAGGGAGACCAGAAGGAGGGAUGAGAGAGCCACCCUCGGGGUGCCCCCCCCCUAGUCUCUGCCCCAGGUUCAGGUGUGGGACCUACAGUGGGCAACUCUGGGCAGGGGACAGCUGACUCUGGUGGUAGAGAACCUGGGAGGCCUGGGGUUCCCUGGGAAGCCCUGGCUUGGGAACUCUCCCAGCACAGGAUGCCUGUGCUUUGGCGGAAAUAAGGAUAAAGAGUUGCGGGCCAAGUUGAACCUUGAAAUUCUCCUCCUCCUUUCCUAAUCCCACCAGCCCCCAGACCCCUCUGUACACUUAGGUGGACAGCUGCCUCCUUUCUCCAGUUGGCCCCCCUCCUCCACUCCCUGCCCCCGCUCAAAGACUCAGCGUCUGGUUGUUCACAAAAGGGACAUGAGUUGGGCAUAUGCAAGUGUUACCUGGCAUCUAACUGACAUUGGCUUCCCUCCGUGGGACUCACUGUUCUUUUCCCCCAUACAUAUUUCUGACUCCCUCUGUCUAAGCCCAACUCUUCCUCUUCCUAACUUCAUGCAAUUCAUCCAUCCCUUCUCUCCAAGGAGUGCACUGUGAUGGGCAUACCUCUGGAGAGCUUAGGCUUUGCACUGAGACUCAAACCAGGAGACCAAAAAGCAUAUUUUAGCACUUCAGGGAGAACAGAGGUGUGGGACUUCAAGGCCUCUCCAAAGAGAUAAAACUCCAAAAGCCUCUGGCUGGGAUAAGAAUUACCAGACCCUGAUCAUCCCACCCCUCUCGUUGUACUUGUUACAAAGUUCCUAUGCCCCCUUGCCCACUUUGAGCAACCUGGCCUACUCCUCCUUGCCCCCCACUAGGAAGCGUAUGUGGCCCACUCCUCACCCCACCCCUACUAAGACCUCUCCCUCUCCAUUGCCUCCAAGCUAUAAAAACAGAUUCGAGGAGUUGCCUGUCCCUGAUUAUUAGGAAAUCAUCCACUGCCCUUGCAGCCUUUCUUAUCUCCAUAAACUUAGCUUUCUUUUCACAAUGCUCUAAGUCUGGAAAUUCUUUUUCCAACCUGCACAUGAACCACAAGAGGCACUUGGGAUUAACUUUACUUCUCCUGAACUGGAACCUAUUCCCUCAUGGUGAAAUAGGCUUCCUUCUACCCAGCCCUUUACAGGGCUGGAUUGGUUCUAUGGCCACGGCAGUAAUAGAUGGUGAGGGAGACAGAUGUCAGAGAAGGUCUAGCCCUUUCCUGCCACCUUUAGAGCCUCAUUUGGUUCCAGGAGCAGCAUUAGGACCCAUAAAUCAAGGGUGAAGGUAGGCUUCUGAAGGGGAAACUGUCCAGAAAGCACCUGCCCCUCAGUCUAAAGUACAGUAUGUGCAUAAAAUGCUCACCCCAAAGUGAGUGUUGUGCAUUAAUAUGGACAUUAAAAGCCCGAGCACCUCCUGGGCUCAGGCGCUCUCCAGAUCUGACACCUCUUACAAUGCCAUCCCCACACAUUCUCUCCCACACCAGGGGGGCAAGGACCAGCAGUGGUGAGUGGCUAAGGGGAACUCAAAAAGGUUUGUAGAAUGAGCCUUACCUCCCAUGAGAAAGAGAAGCCCUGCCACGUACUGCAUAAGGCCUCGGUCCCAGCAGCAGCCCAGCACACCGAUGAUCCAGCCGAAGAGGAUGAUGGCCACUGCCAUGCCCAUGAAGCCAGCCGUCAUCCUGCGCAGGUCUGCAGGGAAGCAGGCGGGCAACAGUUAGCAUCAGAGCCCAGAACUCAGGGUCCGGUGCACCCUGGCCCAGGACCAGAGGGAGGGGGCAGGGUACCACAGGGCCAGGGAGGCAACCUGCCCUUUGCAGACAGGUUGAUACAACCAGGCCUUCUUCACAGAGGACAGAGCCCCUGAGGGUGACUGCAUCCUUGUGUGCAAACACCUCCCGGGACAGCUUGGUCCACAAGCACAGGGAGAGGUCAUCAUCAUAAGACUGUCACUUCUUCUACAUCCCCUCUGCGCCAAGCACAGCACUGUCCUUCCCAAGCUUCUUGCCCAACCUUCUAAGACAGAUGCUGUCUUUGUUUUAUUUUUUAAAGUUUUAUUGCAGUAUAGUUGACUUACAAUGUCACGAUAAUUUCUGUCUUUAUCCCUGUCUGAAAAACAGAGCAACUUGGCAAAACCCUUGCAGUAAGUGAGGGGUAGCACAGAUCUGUGUGGCUCCUGGGUCCUAACCAUGGCACCUCUUGCCUCUCUGGGAGGUGAGAAUUCUUACAGCUGGGCUGGGUCUCGGCGGUCUGGCUGCACCUGCCAAGAAUCCCCUUCCCUUGCCACCAGGGCUAGCCGGUUUCCCAGAAGGUCAAGUGUGGGGAGGAAGCUGCUGGUGGCAGCAUCAUGUUCCCCCCCUCUAAGCUGCCACCCACACCAGGGGCUCAGCUUCCCUUGCAUGUGCAGUUGCAGGGUGGGAGCCACACUUCCUGCCCUCAGACUGAGCCCCAGCAGGCCCCUCAGGUCGGCCCAGCCUUCUGCAUCAGGCCCUUCUCAGCCCCCCUCCCCACUGACCUGCCAGACAGAGCCUGCCGUGGGCUCAGGGGCAGGUGGACCAUCUGGAAAGGUGAGAUUUUUAGCAGAAGGGAGAGAGGAAAGCUGCUGCCCUGGCUCAGUGAGGCUCACUCAGCAUCUUCCUCAGCUGGGCUUCCUCCCAGCUCCAGCUUCGCCCUCCACAGCAUCAUCUACCUCUCCAGCCUCACACUCCCUGCGCCGCGCCUUCUUGCUCCCUCCUAGGUAACACCCCAACGGGGCUCCAAACAGGAGCGAAGCCAUUUGCCUGGGCCUUUCACCAAGGUUGGGGGCGGGGGCUGCAGAGCAGCAUGGAGACCUAUGGGUGCUCCCCUUGCUCAGAGGACGAGGAGUGUGAAGAGGCGAAGGUGGGGGGAUGAGCCAGCAAACUGCAUCAACCCCACCCCCCCAUCCCACACCAGCAUGGACGGUCUCUCCUUACCCCUGGGAAACAAACACCCAGGGUUCCGUCAGGAGCACCUCACAGGCAUUGCACCUGUCUGUGCCUCUCUCCCACUCCGGUCUCCCCAUGGGCAGAGUGCACCCAGGAUCCCUGCACAGUCUGCCUUGAGACCACCUGUGCGCUCCACCCCCACCCCUAGAUGGACGUGGUCCUCGCUCCUGGUCCUGACCCUGAAGAUCAGACACGCAGCCCCCCCCCUACCCCCCGCCCCCAGGGAGGAAGCUGGUUGGGGGGUGGGGAAAACAUCAGCUGAACCUGCCUCUGAGGAGAAGUGCCCCAUCAGGGCCCUUGUCACAAAGGCUGA